rnacentral:precursor_RNA from 13 species
UCUGCCUUCAGCGUGCUGUGUGCCACGUCCUAUUCAGAAUGGCCUUGGUCAUUUGGAUUAUAUGUCACCAAGGUCUUUCUGAGUAGAAUAGGGCUCACCAAAUUCUUCAUUUGUAGU